rnacentral:rRNA from 1 species
CUACGGGCGGCAGCAGUGAGGAAUAUUGCACAAUGGGGGGAACCCUGAUGCAGCAACGCCGCGUGGAGGAUGACGCAUUUCGGUGUGUAAACUCCUUUUAUAUGUCAAGAAAAUGACGGUAGCAUAUGAAUAAGCACCGGCUAACUCCGUGCCAGCAGCCGCGGUAAUACGUGAGGGUGCAAGCGUUACCCGGAAUCACUGGGCGUAAAGGACGCGUAGGCGGGUUGGAAAGUCAGGUGUGAAAUCCUACAGCUUAACUGUAGAACUGCACUUGAAACUUCUAAUCUAGAGUAUGGGAGGGGGAGAUGGAAUUAGUGGUGUAGGGGUAAAAUCCGUAGAUAUCACUAGGAAUACCUAAAGCGAAGGCGAUCUCCUGGAACAUUACUGACGCUAAGGCGUGAAAGCGUGGGGAGCAAACAGGAUUAGAUACCCGGGUAGUC